AGCCAAGUGCAGUGGUGUUUACAACUAAUUGAUCACAGCCAGUUACAGAGUCCUUUGUUCCUGCUCCACUCCUACUGCUUCACUUGCCAGCCUUAAA
rnacentral:Y_RNA from 1 species